ensembl:lncRNA
CGCGGGGCGGGGCGGGGGGAGGUGGGGAGGAUCAUGCAAAUCCCUCUGUUUAAAAAACUUCCAUUUGAGAAAGUGUGUCACAUCCCGGCGCGGGCGUGUAAUCCCCGGGCUAAUGGUAUUACCGCCGCCUCAUCGGCGUAAUGGGAUGGGGCCGGGGGCGACCAUCCCCCGGACCCUCCGCCACGCGUGACCGCAGCCCCAUAGCGCCCGCCCCGUCGGGGCCCCGCUGCCCCACCUCUCCCCCUCCCCGCUCCCCGUCCUCCCUCCCAGGCCCCGCGGUGUCUGUAGGAGAGCGGAGCCCCCGUUUUUGCCGGGGGUUCCCGGAGCAAAACCGACCCCGGGAGGGGAGAGCAGGAGCUGCGCCUCGUGGUCGGUUCAUCUCUUAAAUAAAAGAGAUUAGCGAGCACCGUUAUUUGAUAAAAUAAUGCUGUUAUGGCCACCACCCCCUUCCCCUGUGGGAUUAAAAGUGAGGAUUUGAGGCUGUCCAACAGUCUGACCUGGAUCGCUGCGGGAACAGCCCCCGGGAUGGGCUGUUAGCAACCAAAAAAACCACGGAACUGGGAGAUGUGGGCAAAGGGGCAGCUCUGCCCAUCAGAUGAGACCUGAGGAUGGGCAGCGGUGGGCAAAAGGAGAACCACGACACCCCCAGCAGCCGAGCUGGCCCUGGCCCCGGCCCCUCUGCAGGGCACGGACCCUUCAAACCCCAAAAUGUUUGGGGUAGGAGUUGCAGCACCUGAGUUCAUCACUCCUGGGCUCACACCUUGGGCCCUCAUGCUUCGAACGAGAUUUGGGAACGUAAUCUGGGAUGGAGCUGAACCGGGAGCCGGCACCGCUGCUCUCAUACCACGUUCGUGUUUGUUUGUUUUCUUUUGCUCUCCAUCAGCAUUAGGGCUGCAGAACAGCACUGCCCCGGGUCUGCAGGAGAGCGCUGAGAAAACAAAGGCAGCCCAAACAAAUCACCGCUGCCCGCAGCAGUGACAGCGCGCAGUGCUGCACCUGUCCUCACACUGCUCUCAGUCGCUGGGACCCAACGCCGCGUGGACAGCCAUCCAUCAUUGCUCUGAUUCACAUCUCCAGAGAGCAGCGCUGCCCUGAGCCGCUCUGCAUUUCCCCUCCAUGCUGAAACCCUUUCCUCGGUCCGUCUGUCCUUCCCACUUGCCAUCUGUCUCCCAUCCUUCAAAUAUCACCUUAAAAACAGUCCCUCCACCCUCACAUUGGGGUCCCCCACUCACUCACUGUGCCCUCCCACACGUGGGCUGUGUGUGUUGGCACCGUCCGGGCACCGGGAUGUGUUUGGCAUCGGCCCCAUCUUACGGCCCUAUAAUAAUAUUGUAAAUCCUCACCGGAAAGUAAUUACACCCCAUAAAAGGAGCAGCAGUCUGUGGUCGGAGCCAGGGCCGCUCUGUGACACCCAUUUUAAAGAGAUGUUUCGUGCCUUAUUUAUAGAUUAGAUUUUAACCUGACAACCUUUUAACAUUGUAUUAAAUCAGAAAUUAACUCCGUCUGACUGCUCACCGUGUAAUUGACCCACGGAGGGGCAGAGCGUGGGGGAAUACUGAAGACACGUUUCAGACAGCAAAGUUCCCAAGGAGAUUCCAAACCUUCUCCUUGGUGGAGGGCAGGACUUCGCUAUUAAUUAGUAUGUGUGGUCAGGUGGUGGGGUGGGCAUGGAGGAGGGGCUCUGGGGAGGGGAUGGCAGGAGAUGUGGACAGGGACAGGACACACGGGCACAGUGUGGCCGUGCUGUGGCAUCCGGCUCAUACAGGACACUGUCACACAAAGGGAAACUGAAAUCCAGAGCUGAAAUCCCCAGAAGGAGUCAGAGAUGGGGUCAGCCCCUGCAGCAGUGCUGACCCAGAGGGACGGGCAGGCACCGGCUGUGCCACUGCCACGGUGACCCACGGCCGCAUCCCCUCCGAAUUGCAUCCUCUGCUUUCAUGGGGUAAAGGCUCUCCUGGUGUAAGUGAGAGCUGCUCCAGAAAUGUGCACGAGGGGAGAGCACAGCAGGAACACCACCGUCUGAUGGAAG